rnacentral:miRNA from 1 species
CCUCCAGGAGCAGGUGAGCCACUGACUAACGCACAUUGUGCUCUCGGCGACUCCACUGUGCGUGUGACAGCGGCU